AUUGAACGCUGGCGGCAGGCCUAACACAUGCAAGUCGAGCGAGCGGCGGACGGGUGAGUAAUGUAUGGGGACUGCCCGAUAGAGGGGGAUAACUACUGGAAACGGUAGCUAAUACCGCAUACUAUCGGAUAACCCAUAUGGGAUUAGCUAGUGGGUGGGGUAAUGGCUCACCUAGGCGACGAUCCCUAGCUGGUCUGAGAGGAUGAUCAGCCACACUGGGACUGAGAAACGGCCCAGACUCCUACGGAGGCAGCAGUGGGGAAUAUUGCACAAUGGGCGCAAGCCUGAUGCAGCCAUGCCGCGUGUAUGAUGAAGGCCUUAGGGUUGUAAAGUACUUUCAGCAGGGAGGCGGUACCGGCAGAAGAAGCACCGGCUAACUACGUGCCAGCAGCCGCGGUAAUAC
rnacentral:rRNA from 1 species